rnacentral:rRNA from 1 species
UACGUAGGGGGCAAGCGUUGUCCGGAUUUAUUGGGCGUAAAGAGCGUGUAGGCGGCCAGACAAGUCUGCUGUGAAAACUCGAGGCUCAACCUCGAGCUGUCGGUGGAAACUGUCUGGCUAGAGUCCGGAAGAGGAGAGUGGAAUUCCUGGUGUAGCGGUGAAAUGCGUAGAUAUUGGGAGGAACACCAGUGGCGAAGGCGGCUCACUGGACCGGAACUGACGCUGAGGCGCGAAAGCGUGGGGAGCAAACGGG